CUGUGAUAUAACUGUCUUGUAAGUAAAACGAAUAGCCAUCAUUUAUACUUUUACCAGCCAGAGAAAACCAGUCAAUGUACAAUUAUCUAUAUAUUUUUUGGCAAAGUGGUUUCAUAUAAUUCACUUUUUUACUUAAAAUAUGAACGUUAAUCAGUUUAGCUAUUAAUUCCACAUGUAUUUUCCCACGCCCUAUUCUAGACCCUCAGGAUACCAGAAUGAGAGACCAACAUGACCCCAGCCCUUACAGUCUGUGCGCUUCGUCCCAUUCAUGCUGACCUCCCAGCCCUGCUCCCCACCUGCUGCUGGCCUAGAGAAGAAAGCCAUUUCCAUUGGCCUUGGCUGCCUGGGGAGAUCUAUAUUACUCUGGGGAAGACAAGAGCUGUCCCCAUCUUGGUAAAGUGUGAAAUUCGGUUUUGAUUGCAAAGGGAAGCCAUUUCAACGGGAUUACACCGUGACCAUGUAGAUUAAACUCAGCCAUAUGGCCCAGGAUGCUUCUUCCUACUGCCAGGUAACAGUGCAUUGCUAAUGACGCGGUGAUGACAUUUUCAAAUGCAAAAAUAAAGCCACCUGGACUGGAAUAAAGGAGGCCA
rnacentral:lncRNA from 1 species